rnacentral:rRNA from 1 species
AACGAACGCUGGCGGCAUGCCUAACACAUGCAAGUCGAACGAAGCCUUCGGGCUUAGUGGCGCACGGGUGCGUAACACGUGGGAAUCUGCCUCUAGGUAGGGAAUAACUCAGGGAAACUUGUGCUAAUACCCUAUGAUGUCUUCGGACCAAAGAUUUAUCGCCUAGAGAUGAGCCCGCGUCGGAUUAGCUAGUUGGUGAGGUAAAGGCUCACCAAGGCUACGAUCCGUAGCUGGUCUGAGAGGAUGAUCAGCCACACUGGGACUGAGACACGGCCCAGACUCCUACGGGAGGCAGCAGUGGGGAAUAUUGGACAAUGGGCGAAAGCCUGAUCCAGCAAUGCCGCGUGAGUGAAGAAGGCCUUCGGGUUGUAAAGCUCUUUUACCCGGGAAGAUAAUGACAGUACCGGGAGAAUAAGCUCCGGCUAACUCCGUG